UGGGGAAUCUUCCGCAAUGGGCGAAAGCCUGACGGAGCAACGCCGCGUGAGUGAUGACGGCCUUCGGGUUGUAAAACUCUGUGAUCCGGGACGAAAAGGCAGAGUGCGAAGAACAAACUGCAUUGACGGUACCGGAAAAGCAAGCCACGGCUAACUACGUGCCAGCAGCCGCGGUAAUACGUAGGUGGCAAGCGUUGUCCGGAAUUAUUGGGCGUAAAGCGCGCGCAGGCGGCUUCCCAAGUCCCUCUUAAAAGUGCGGGGCUUAACCCCGUGAUGGGAAGGAAACUGGGAAGCUGGAGUAUCGGAGAGGAAAGUGGAAUUCCUAGUGUAGCGGUGAAAUGCGUAGAGAUUAGGAAGAACACCGGUGGCGAAGGCGACUUUCUGGACGAAAACUGACGCU
rnacentral:rRNA from 1 species